rnacentral:RNase_MRP_RNA from 1 species
GGACUGCAAGACGACGUGAAUGGGUCAAGGUUCACUCAUUGGGUGGGCCAGGACCCAGGAAAGUCCCCGGGCCAUCUCUGCAGAGAUGCAGGUUCGGUAACGAACGAGCUUCACGGGCUCUAGGAGUUUAAGCCCAUUGGGCUUGGGCUGAGACAAGGUGGAGCCUACAACUCCUGCUCGGGAGCGAUAUUGGCCAGUUCGACAGUGAUUCACGUGGCCCACUGGGCUUAACUGAACGGGGCUUAUGAUCUUGCAGUC